rnacentral:siRNA from 1 species
CGCCGUUUUCUUUAGAUCCACA